rnacentral:rRNA from 1 species
GAUGAACGCUAGCUACAGGCUUAACACAUGCAAGUCGAGGGGAAACGGCAUUGAGUGCUUGCACUCUUUGGACGUCGACCGGCGCACGGGUGAGUAACGCGUAUCCAACCUUCCCAUUACUGUGGGAUAACCUGCCGAAAGGCAGACUAAUACCGCAUAGUCUUCGAUGACGGCAUCAGAUUUGAAGUAAAGAUUUAUCGGUAAUGGAUGGGGAUGCGUCUGAUUAGCUUGUUGGCGGGGUAACGGCCCACCAAGGCUACGAUCAGUAGGGGUUCUGAGAGGAAGGUCCCCCACAUUGGAACUGAGACACGGUCCAAACUCCUACGGGAGGCAGCAGUGAGGAAUAUUGGUCAAUGGACGGAAGUCUGAACCAGCCAAGUAGCGUGCAGGAUGACGGCCCUAUGGGUUGUAAACUGCUUUUGUAUGGGGAUAAAGUUAGGGACGUGUCCCUAUUUGCAGGUACCAUACGAAUAAGGACCGGCUAAUUCCGUGCCAGCAGCCGCGGUAAUACGGAAGGUCCAGGCGUUAUCCGGAUUUAUUGGGUUUAAAGGGAGCGUAGGCUGGAGAUUAAGUGUGUUGUGAAAUGUAGACGCUCAACGUCUGAAUUGCAGCGCAUACUGGUUUCCUUGAGUACGCACAACGUUGGCGGAAUUCGUCGUGUAGCGGUGAAAUGCUUAGAUAUGACGAAGAACUCCGAUUGCGAAGGCAGCUGACGGGAGCGCAACUGACGCUUAAGCUCGAAGGUGCGGGUAUCAAACAGGAUUAGAUACCCUAGUAGUCCAAGGGCGAAUUCCACAUUGGGCUGCAGCCCGGGGGAUCCACUAGUUCUAGAGCGGCCGCACCGCGGAGCUCCAAUUCAACCUAUAGUGAGUCGUAUUACGCGCGCUCACUGGCGAUCAUUUUACGAAAACCCCUUUUUGCGGGGGGAGAAAUACGAAAAAGACCCCCCCCCAGCAAUUUUGUGCCUGUGAG